ACCUAGAGUGUCAUCCAAAGUAAAAAUCGAGAGUCACUUAGAACAUAUCUCCCAGUAAUGUAAGAUGGAGUGUGAGGUGAGAAAGUUCAAAAAUCAAAAAUGUUCUGUAAAACAUGCUCUUAGUAAUAUAUAUAUUUAUAGAACAGUCACUUUAGUACGCUGAUUGCCUUAGGCUGCUAAACUGCAUCAAGUUUCACUUGUUGACUUAAUCUUCCAAAGACUUGGUGUGCUGGUAAGCUUAACCAUACGUGUCUGAAAACAGGAAUUAUCCGUUGACAGGAGGUUUGCUCCUUUUAGUUUAGCUGGGAGGCGAUUUCUGGCCAAAACUAGUUUUGCAUCUCUUACAUCCUAAUUGUUGUUGUUUUUUUCCUGGCAAUUUUAUAUAAUGAGACUAAUGCGUUGACGUUAGAUAUGCUCGCUUAGCUUGGGUGUAGAGCAGCUGAUGGCAGAAAACUAGCUCUCGUGUCCUUGGUGAUGACUUCUAGAAGAUUAGAAAAAAUAAGCACCUGUGUUUGCAUAAGUCACGUCUUCUGUAGAACUGUUUGAGAACGAAUAGAUGUAGAUAGUUAUUUUGUACACAUGACACUAUUUUCCUGGUUUGCAUCACUGAG